GACAGAGGUGCCGAGCGUUAGGCGGAAUCACUGGGCUUAAAGCGUGUGUAGGCGGACCGUUAAGUGUCUUGUGAAAUCCCCCGGCUCAACCGGGGAAUUGCUGGGCAUACUGGCGGUCUUGAGCAGUCUAGGGGCAGAUGGAACAAGUGGUGGAGCGGUGAAAUGCGUAGAUAUCAUUUGGAACGCCAACGGUGAAAACAGCUGGCUGGGGGUGUGCUGACGCUGAGACACGAAAGCCAGGGGAGCGAACGGG
rnacentral:rRNA from 1 species